GUGAUACCUGGAGGAGGCUGUGAUCCUGUGGGAAACCUAGUGAAGAGGAGGGCCCUGCUUCCAUGCUGGAACAGCCUGUCCUUGGAGGACUGCACCCUUAUGGAAGAGUGACCCAUACUGCAGCCGUUUGAGGGAGACUGUUGCCCAUGAAAUGGAUCCACAUUGGAGAAGUUUAUGGAGAACUGUCUCCAGUGGGAGGGACCCCUUGGUGCAGCAGGGAAAGGACUCCUCUCCCUGAGCAGAGGAAGAAAGUCUUGUGUAAU